rnacentral:rRNA from 1 species
CCUACGGGAGGCAGCAGUGAGGAAUAUUGGUCAAUGGCCGGAAGGCUGAACCAGCCAAGCCGCGUGAGGGACGAAGGUGCCAAUCAUUGUAAACUUCUUUUGUCAAGGGACAAAAUCAGGCUCGAGAGCCUGACCGAUGGUACUUGAAGAAAAAGCAUCGGCUAACUCCGUGCCAGCAGCCGCGGUAAUACGGAGGAUGCGAGUGUUAUCCGGAUUUAUGGGGUUUAAAGGGUGCGUAGGGGGUCUGUUAAGUACGGGGUAAAAGCCCGGGGUUCAACCCCGGCGAGCCGUUGAAACUGGCUGUCUUGAGAGGUGGAGAGGUAUGCGGAAUGCGCAGUGUAGCGGUGAAAUGCUUAGAUAUUGCGCAGAACGCCGAUUGCGAAGGCAGCAUACCGGCGGCGAUCUGACGCUGAGGCACGAAAGCGUGGGUAUCGAACAGGAUUAGAUACCCGAGUAGUC